CUGGGCACUGAGAUCCUGCCAGCUGUGCUCAAGGAUACACAGGCACGAGGGCGAGGUAGCUCCUAGGGACGCAGCUCCCAGGGGCGCCCCUGGCUGUCAGCCCAGGCACCAGCUGCUGUGACCCCCUCCCUCCAACGACUGCUUGAGGAGGUUCUGCUCCCUGUUCGUGUUCUGGAGGAGGCCCCAGGAAGACCUGGCCGCCCACCUGCAGACUCACGUAGGAGGACUCACCUGGGAGGACUCCUGACGGCCACUCCUCAUGUCUGU
rnacentral:lncRNA from 1 species